rnacentral:rRNA from 1 species
UGAUCCUGGCUCAGGGUAAACGCUGGCGGCGUGCUUUAGGCAUGCAAGUGGAACGGUCGCCUUAGGCGACAGUCGCGAACGGCUGAGUAACACGUAGGAAUCUGCCUCUUGGAGGGGAAUACCUCAGGGAAACUUGGGUUAAUACCGCAUGAUCCACAUUCAGUUACAUGAAUGUGGCAAAGGGCGUAACUGCCCGCCAAGAGAGGAGCCUGCGCACCAUCACGCUUGUUGGUAGGGUAACGGCCUACCAAGGCUUCGACGGUUAGGGGACAUGAGAGUGUGUACCCCCAGAAUGGCACUGAGACACGGGCCAUACACCUACGGGUGGCAGCAACUAGGAAUCGUGCGCAAUGGGCGAAAGCCUGACGCCGCGACGCCGCGUGGGGGAUGAAGGCCUUCGGGUUGUAAACUCCUUUUGCCAAACGGGAGACUUUUUGGCGAAUAAGCACCAGCUAACUCCGUGCCAGCAGCUGCGGUAAUACGGAGGGUGCAAGCGUUGCCCGGAUUUAUUGGGCGUAAAGUGUUCGUAGGCGGUUUGGUAAGUCACAUUUCAAAGACCAGGGCUCAACCUUGGGAAGGGGCGUGAUACUGCCAGACUUGAGACACUCAGGGGCUACUGGAACUGUCGGUGUAGGGGUGAAAUCCGUUGAUAUCGAUAGGAACUCCAAGGGCGAAGGCAGGUAGCUGGGAGUGUUCUGACGCUGAGGGACGAAAGCUAGGGGAGCGAAAGGGAUUAGAGACCCCUGUAGU